UUAUAUGAUAAAUAGAUAAGGAUUGAAUAAUUGUGUUAAAAAGUUAACUCCUUUUCGCAGGAUUAUAGAAAAGGAAAUAGAAAAGGAUUGAAGAGUUAUCACAACUCUUCAGUCCGUUUUUUUUAUAUUCUAAACCUGCGGAGAGAAACUAACUUAUUGCAACUGUAAACUCUCCCAUUUACGCUCUGGUCAUCCUCAUUGCUCUCGAUGUAGCUCUUGCAUAAAUUCGGUAUUCUAGCGCUUCAUUUCAGUCUCUUACCUUUUGCCACUCAUGUUUUCAGCCUAGUUAAUUCCUUUCCAUAGAAUUAGAAUAUAUAUAAAUAGUAAAUUGUGUAAUAGUCAGUUCUUUUCCCUGAAGGGUAGAAUAUGUAUACGAUAGAAAAUAUUUAAGAAUGGUGAUUAGUUCUUUUCCACAGGACUAGAUUAGAAAAUAUUGAAGAAUUUCGAUAAAUUAGUAGGCUUAUACGACAAAUACACAUUUAAUUGAGGAAUAAUUUCCACAGAAAUAUAUUUUAACAUACUCAUAUUGCUUAUUUAGUAUAUUUGAUGCGUCUAACGUGCUCAAUCUUAUGUUAAACAACUAGAACAUUUUUUUUUUAUAUACGAUUCACUUUAUUUUGUUAGUAAUGUGAUACGAAUGCGAACAAGUCUUUGCCGAGUGGUACAGAAUAUAGGCUAAUACGUAACGAUUAUUAUUGCAAUGAGUUAGCGUGCAAUGACGCUAAUCUGGUGUGAAAAGGGAGUGUAUUGUGGCGUGGUUCGGAUCACGCUACGCAUACACAUUAAUUGGCAAUGACCAAGAAUAUUCGUAGCGUUAUUUACAAACCGCGCACUUACUUAUGGCGUUAUAACGAACGGCGCACUUAAUUCGUAAUUUCCGUAUAAAUUUCGAUAAAUAUAUCAUUCUUAUCCAUAGAAAUAACUUUUACGUCUUUAAAAAAAGUAAGUUUUUGCAUUAUUUUUCAAAGUUUGAAAUUGUCAAUCUGUAAAUCGACCUGUUUUUGCAUUCGUCCAUAAACAAAUGAUGCUUUUAGGGAUUUCUGCAAAUAGAAAGAAAUCAGUCAAUUGACUAUAUAGGUUGGCCAAAGCUUUACAUCAGAGGAUGGAUUGGAUUCCGCUCUGGAGGGUAGAAGUGGAAAUGAAAAGUGGUGAAUGCUCGUUUGAAGACGAACGGAAGACGUCCGCAAGACAACAUAAUGUGUUUUCGAGUAGGCCACAGUCAAACAAGAUAGAUUGGCCAUACACAAAUAAGCCAUUUCUGGCUGGCCUGGGGAAGAGAAUUAGCGGACUGCCGGCGGGAAAAAUUGGAUUUUGUAGUUGUAAGAGGAGGAAACGUUAGGAGAGAGUACGCGAAGAUGAUUAUAAUGACCAUUGUUUGAAUGGAAGAGUGGAAAUGGCUCGUCCGAAUAUGACUUCUAAUCCAUCUGGACUAUAGGAGAUUACUUCUGUUUCUUAUAAGCGGAUAGAUAAGAUAAUCCCUCAGUCGAAAAAGGGUUGAAGUUCUAAUAAGAUGAGGAGAUUAAUACAAACUUUUGAUUUGUUUUUCCUUAAUCCCGCAUUUUUAUCGCUCUCUGUUUUAAUUCUCAAAACCCACUGGAAUUUAAAUAACAAUUUUUAAUUAUUACAAAAUUUUUUAAUUAAGUUAUUCUGCAUAAUUUAUUGCCAGGAAUAUUUAAAAUUAAAUUCCUAUAAUCAAAGUACAGGGAAAUAUUCCUAAUUUUUCUUUUUGUUUUAUAAUCCGGAC
rnacentral:lncRNA from 1 species